UUUAGCCCUUGCCUAUGAGAGCUGCCUUUGUCCUUCACUUGAGGGCCGAGCCACAGCAAACACAGCUCCUAUAUUCCCAAACCAUAGCCCGACAGUACCUCAACGAGUUCAGUCACAGAAGGUUUCGUCAGUGUGAAUAUCAACUGCCGUUAAUAGUGCAGGCAAGAAAUGUGUGAGCCCUACAGCAGGGAAUAUGGAAGUUUCAAUGCAACAAGUCAGUGAGCAGAAGAUAAUUUUCCAGUAGCUCAUUCAACACUAUCAAUGCCAUUAAAGUUCCCUCCAAUUGGUUCCGAUAGUCCUCAGCCAAAAUGUCUAUCCAUGCACGUCUACAACAGCUGGAGGCUUAUGUCUUCAGCUUGAUCACCAGACUACAAGAAUUUGAUACUCUCAGAUUCAUCUCCUUUAUAGUCAUCUUGGCAUUCGUCGGUACUUUUCUCCUGUUAGUUCUCGUCCCUGUUGUAUACUGCUGCUAUUCCUGCAUUUGUCUCAGAAAACUUAGCAGGGUGAAGCCUACACCAGUAGUAAUCCCAACGAACAUUGGACCAUGAAGCAAGCAAUGGACAAAUAUGGCGAAUUGGACGAUGGACUUUAUCGUUUUGUUGCAGCGGCAAUGUAUCACAACCUGCAUGGGAUAAACCAGCUGCUCAAUGCACCAUGUCCCAUACAGACCAUCCUCCACACUCAGAGAGAAGAGCAUGAACACAGCAAAUGCUGCCUUGUUUUCUUUCAUUAUCGUAUGUCUGGAAAUGAUAUUGUAUGCUGGUUGUUUCUAUUGUAUAGUAUUGUAUAGUAAUUUGAACACAUCUGUUUUUCACAAAAACUGGUGAGAAAAAUUUGAAGCAAUAUUCCAAUAAAUAAAAUCCAAGAGGUAGAAAAAUAAACAGAACCACCUAACGGUUCAAACAGAAUCUGUAUGGAUCAAAGUUUGGUCUUUAUGCUUUGAGUGUGCAUCCUUCAGACAGACAUACAAUUGGUUGUAAACAAUAACCCCUCUAUUAUUACUUUGUAGUUCAAUGGGCAGAGCACUUGUGCUGUUUAUUCUUGCGUGCAACACAAGGAAGGACACAUUUAUCCACUCAGCCUCAUCGGCUCCACAUGUCAUAUUGGUACUGGUAGUAUUCAGUAUUUAGUCGCCCUGUUCCUUCAAUCAAGUUUCAACAGCUUGAUAUGGAAGCAAUUUUUUUUUGUGGCCAAAAGAACAAAGCAAAGAAAAUUUAAUUGGUAAGGAUGGGUGAAAAUUUUUACUGUUGUAAUAAUUAGUUUAACUUGUAAUGCAGUCGCCGUAUCAAAAUCAAUGAUGGAAUGUUAUUUUGAAAUUGAACCAAAACGGUCUGAUGAAAAAACUCAAUAAACACACAGACAACACAUCAUA